rnacentral:tRNA from 1 species
GUCGCCUUGGUGAAAUUGGUAAACACAGCAGACUCAAAAUCUGUACCAUACGGUGCUGCCGGUUCAAGUCCGGCAGGCGAU